UCGCAUCCGCCAAUCGGUCAAGCCGUGUCGCGGAAGGUUUUUCAAGCGAACCAACUAAUGCGCUUCGAAGAAGUGCGGAGGUCCUGCG
rfam:Lampropedia sp. CT6, whole genome shotgun sequence.